ACGGGAUGAAGGGGAGAUAAGCCAAGCGCGUGGGAAGAUAAGUUGGGCGAUGAUCCUUGUAUCGCGGAUGCUGGGAAUAACUGGGAGCUGAUUCCUUGAACUGCGGAUGCUGGUGAUUUGGCUGAGAUGAAGACGCGUGAAACAGGGGAUGAUUCAUGGGAUCGAUAGCUUGGGCGUUGAAUCAGGGAGUGAAGGUGCUGGAAGCCUGAUCUGCGGACACGGGAUGGAUUCGUGAGCAGGGGAUUUGAUGCGCUGGGAGAUUUCUUGCGGAUACAAGGGAUACGGGAGCUGGGAGUUUGGUUGAACGAGAUGAAAUCUAGGAAGAUGAUGCAGACGGGAGGAGGAUGCAGAGGAUUCAGGUUUCAUCCCGCCUGGCUAUAGGAUAAGGAUGAAGCUUGAGCCGAUCCGGUUGUUGGAAUAGGGAGCUGAUCGCAUUGAAGGAGUCAGUGUUAUUCCUUGGACGCAGAAGGAUUUAUGCGAAUGAAGAAGUUUGGGACUUAUUCGAGGCAGGAGAUAAGGAUGAUU
rnacentral:lncRNA from 1 species